AUUGAACGCUGGCGGCAUGCUUUACACAUGCAAGUCGAACGGCAGCACGGGCUUCGGCCUGGUGGCGAGUGGCGAACGGGUGAGUAAUAUAUCGGAACGUACCCAGAAGUGGGGGAUAACGUAGCGAAAGUUACGCUAAUACCGCAUACGAUCUAUGGAUGAAAGCAGGGGACCGCAAGGCCUUGUGCUCCUGGAGCGGCCGAUAUCUGAUUAGCUAGUUGGUGAGGUAAAGGCUCACCAAGGCGACGAUCAGUAGCUGGUCUGAGAGGACGACCAGCCACACUGGAACUGAGACACGGUCCAGACUCCUACGGGAGGCAGCAGUGGGGAAUUUUGGACAAUGGGCGCAAGCCUGAUCCAGCAAUGCCGCGUGAGUGAAGAAGGCCUACGGGUUGUAAAGCUCUUUUGUCAGGGAAGAAACGGUAGAGGCUAAUAUCCUUUGCUAAUGACGGUACCUGAAGAAUAAGCACCGGCUAACUACGUG
rnacentral:rRNA from 1 species